GGGUACUCCAGGACCAGGGUUUAGGUGGGGGUACUCCAGGACCAGGGUUUAGAAGGGGGUACUCCAGGACUAGUGUUUAGGUGGGGGUACUCCAGGACCAGGGUUUAGGAGGGGGUACUCCAGGACUAGUGUUUAGGUGGGGGUACUCCAGGACCAGGGUUUAGGAGGGGGUACUCCAGGACUAGGGUUUAGGUGGGGGUACUCCAGGACCAGGGUUUAUGUGGGUGUACUCCAGGACUAGGGUUUAGGUGGGUAUAUUCAAGGACUAGGGUUUAGGUGGGGGUACUCCAGGACCAGGGUUUAGGUUUUUUAAACUAUAAUUGGUUACAUUUAUAGCAAAUGCCCAACUGACUUACAGUUAAGUUCAUGAAAUGUUAAAUGUUAUAGAAGUAUUCCAAAAUUGGUUCCAGUAAUCAGCCAAUAUUAAGUGUAAGAUGUGUAAGAAGAACCACAAAAGUGACAACUACACACAAGAUAUACCACUAGUUACAAGACAGUCUUUGGCUCUGUACAGAUGUGUUCGUAAGUUUACACACCCCUUCCAGAAUCUGCAAAGUGUUAAUAAUAAUAAAAAAAGAGGUCAUUCUUUGCUUUUCCAGCAACUUCUGCAUAUUUGAUCCUUAUUGGACUUGUACACAACUACAAAUUACAAAAGGUAAAAACAUUCACUGAU
ensembl:lncRNA